rnacentral:other from 1 species
CAAAUCCUGAUAUGUUCGUUAUGUAGUCGUCUUUUUAAACCGAACACUUUUUAAUAGGGAAUCCAAUAUUUAUUUAUGAAUUUGACGCCUCGUGAAGGAAGAUAUUUAUAAAUGUGCGGAUACCCACCUGCUGAGCGCGGGUUUAGUUGACGCUAAAAGUAUGACGGCAUGAUUGGGAUUUGU